rnacentral:rRNA from 1 species
UCGCCAUGCCACCCUGGUCACCUGAAUCGAAUCUGUCUGAUUUUAGAAGCUAAGUAGGGUCAGGUCUGGUUAGUCCUGAGAUGGAAGACUAUCAAGGAAUAACUUCAAGUAGGACGAG